AGAGUUUGAUUCUGGCUCAGGAUGAACGCUGGCGGCGUGCUUAACACAUGCAAGUCGAACGGGAAUUACAUUUUAGCUUGCUAAGUUGUAAUUCUAGUGGCGGACGGGUGAGUAACGCGUGGGUAACCUGCCUUAUACCGGGGGACAACAGUUGGAAACGACUGCUAAUACCGCAUAAGCGCACAGUAUCGCAUGAUAGAGUGUGAAAAACUCCGGUGGUAUAAGAUGGACCCGCGUCUGAUUAGCUAGUUGGCGGUGCAACGGACCACCAAGGCGACGAUCAGUAGCCGGCCUGAGAGGGCAAACGGCCACAUUGGGACUGAGACACGGCCCAAACUCCUACGGGAGGCAGCAGUGGGGAAUAUUGCACAAUGGAGGAAACUCUGAUGCCAGCGACGCCGCGUGAGUGAAGAAGUAUUUCGGUAUGUAAAGCUCUAUCAGCAGGAAAGAAAAUGACGGUACCUGACUAAGAAGCCCCGGCUAACUACGUGCCAGCCGCUGC
rnacentral:rRNA from 1 species